rnacentral:rRNA from 1 species
GUCCAUGCCGUAAACGGUGGGCGCUAGGUGUGGGGGUCUUCCACGACUUCCGUGCCGUAGCUAACGCAUUAAGCGCCCCGCCUGGGGAGUACGGCCGCAAGGCUAAAACUCAAAGGAAUUGACGGGGGCCCGCACAAGCGGCGGAGCAUGUGGAUUAAUUCGAUGCAACGCGAAGAACCUUACCUAGGCUUGACAUAUACAGGACGGCGGCAGAGAUGUCGUUUCCCUUGUGGCUUGUAUACAGGUGGUGCAUGGUUGUCGU